rnacentral:rRNA from 1 species
GUCCACGCUGUAAACGAUGUCGGCUAGACGCUGGGCAGCAAGCUGUUCGGUGUCGGCGCUAACGCAUUAAGCCGACCGCCUGGGGAGUACGGCCGCAAGGUUAAACUCAAAGGAAUUGACGGGGCCCGCACAAGCGGUGGAGCAUGUGGUUUAAUUCGAUGCAACGCGCAGAACCUUACCAGCCCUUGACAUGGGGAGUUUGGUCUCGGAGACGGGAUCCUUCAGUUCGGCUGGCUCCCACACAGGUGCUGCAUGGCUGUCGU